UAGUGGCGAACGGGUGAGUAACACGUGGGCAAUCUGCCCUGCACUCUGGGACAAGCCCUGGAAACGGGGUCUAAUACCGGAUACUCACUGCCUUGGGCAUCCUUGGCGGUGGAAAGCUCCGGCGGUGCAGGAUGAGCCCGCGGCCUAUCAGCUAGUUGGUGAGGUAAUGGCUCACCAAGGCGACGACGGGUAGCCGGCCUGAGAGGGCGACCGGCCACACUGGGACUGAGACACGGCCCAGACUCCUACGGGAGGCAGCAGUGGGGAAUAUUGCACAAUGGGCGAAAGCCUGAUGCAGCGACGCCGCGUGAGGGAUGACGGCCUUCGGGUUGUAAACCUCUUUCAGCAGGGAAGAAGCGAAAGUGACGGUACCUGCAGAAGAAGCGCCGGCUAACUACGUGCCAGCAGCCGCGGUAAUACGUAGGGCGCAAGCGUUGUCCGGAAUUAUUGGGCGUAAAGAGCUCGUAGGCGGCUUGUCACGUCGGUUGUGAAAGCCCGGGGCUUAACCCCGGGUCUGCAGUCGAUACGGGCAGGCUAGAGUUCGGUAGGGGAGAUCGGANUUCCU
rnacentral:rRNA from 1 species